UUUGAAAACUGCAAUUGGGCCUACUAAGGAACCAUGAUAGUGUUUGGUACAUAGAGGACACUGGAAAUGGUUUUCUUAACUGAACAAGUGACUAGAAUAAAGGAAUUAAUGAACGACAUCAGAGCUGAAAUCCCAAACCAUAAAUCAUAAAAGGAUCAGACAGCAAAGAGAAUGUGAAGAAAUGGAAUGGGCUCCAAUCAUUUAAAGGAUGAAAAAACUUUUUGAAAUACUAUUUCACAUCAAACUUUGAUUUAUAGCUACUAAAUAUUUAACCUUUUUCAUAUAAAAAUUACAGUAUGUACUGUUAUCUCAGAGGCCAAAGUGAUAACAUUUGUUAACCCCAAAUCCAGCAGAAAAACAACUUUUUGCUUCAUUAGAGCACUGUCCCACUUGUUUCCAUGGGUGGCAAGAAGGUCUUUUGUUUGUUUGUUUGUCUGUUUGUUUUUUUGAGAGGAGACUCGCUCUGUGGCCAGGCUGGCGUGCAGUGGCGUGAUGUCGCUGCAACCUCAGCCUCCUGCCUUCAAGC
rnacentral:lncRNA from 10 species